UACAGAGGUCUCAAGCGUUGUUCGGAAUUACUGGGCGUAAAGCGUGCGCAGGCGGCGCGUUAAGACAGGUGUGAAAGCCCCGAGCUUAACUUGGGAAUUGCGCUUGUGACUGGCGUGCUGGAGUGUGGCAGAGGGAGGUGGAAUUCCACGUGUAGCAGUGAAAUGCGUAGAGAUGUGGAGGAACACCGAUGGCGAAGGCAGCCUCCUGGGCCAGCACUGACGCUCAUGCACGAAAGCGUGGGGAGCAAACAGG
rnacentral:rRNA from 1 species